rnacentral:rRNA from 1 species
ACUUAAAGAAAUUGACGGAAGGGCACCACCAGGAGUGGAGCCUGCGCUUAAUUUGACUCAACACGGGAAAACUCACCCGGUCCGGACACUGUAAGGAUUGACAGAUUGAUAGCUCUUUCUUGAUUCGGUGGGUGGUGGUGCAUGGCCGUUCUUAGUUGGUGGAGCGAUUUGUCUGGUUAAUUCCGAUAACGAACGAGACUCUAGCCUAUUAAAUAGUUCGCCUCGGUGGUUCUAUUGCCGACGCGUACACUUCUUAGAGGGACGAGUGGCGUUUAGCCACACGAAAUUGAGCAAUAACAGGUCUGUGAUGCCCUUAGAUGUCCGGGGCGCACGCGCGCUACACUGAAGGAAUCAGCGUGGAUGCCUCCCUGGCCCGAAAGGGCUGGGAAACCCGUUGAAUCUCCUUCGUGCUAGGGAUUGGGGCUUGUAAUUGUUCCCCAUGAACGAGGAAUUCCCAGUAAGCGCGAGUCAUAAGCUCGCGUUGAUUACGUCCCUGCCCUUUGUACACACCGCCCGUCG